rnacentral:rRNA from 1 species
AACGAACGCUGGCGGCAUGCCUAACACAUGCAAGUCGAACGAGACCUUCGGGUCUAGUGGCGCACGGGUGCGUAACGCGUGGGAACCUGCCUUUAGGUUCGUAAUAACUCAGAGAAAUUUGAGCUAAUACCGGAUGAUGUCUUCGGACCAAAGAUUUAUCGCCUUUAGAUGGGCCCGCGUUGGAUUAGCUAGUUGGUGGGGUAAAGGCCUACCAAGGCGACGAUCCAUAGCUGGUCUGAGAGGAUGAUCAGCCACACUGGGACUGAGACACGGCCCAGACUCCUACGGGAAGAAGCAGUGGGGAAUAUUGGACAAUGGGCGAAAGCCUGAUCCAGCAAGGCCGCGUGAGUGAUGAAGGCCUUAGGGUUGUAAAGCUCUUUUACCAGAGAUGAUGAUGACAGUAUCGGGAGAAUAAGCUCCGGCUAACUCCGUG